rnacentral:lncRNA from 1 species
GUGGUUCUCGCAACCACCACUUGUCUCGUUCGGGAGUGGAGCGGUUCCAUGUUGAAAAAGAGGAAGGUGAGAUCUAUGUUGAACACGAGCUUGCCUCUGUGGUGCCACCGCCCGAGAAGAAGAGGAAGUUUUCUCCAAUUAUAUGGGACCUAGCAGUGAAGGAAGAAAGAGUCUCUUCAAAGAGUAGGAUCUCGCAGAUUGCUGCUCUGUCUCCUCCUCGUCCAUCUCUACCUAGCAGUCCUGGAGCCUAUGUUGUUGAUUGUGGGAAUGUUAUGGAGGAGUUUUUGCCAGAUUCACGAAGCUACAAACAAGAUGUGGAGGAAGAGAAUGAUGUGCAAGGUUGGACAAUCAAAAAGUCAAGAUGGGAUUGUGAUGAUG